rnacentral:rRNA from 1 species
UACGGAGGAUGCAAGCGUUAUCCGGAAUCAUUGGGCUUAAAGGGUCCGUAGGCGGUUUUGUAAGUCCGUUGUGAAAGCUGGUCGCUCAACGCUCAAACGGCCAUUGAUACUGUAGAACUUGAAUUACUUGGAAGUAACUAGAAUAUGUAGUGUAGCGGUGAAAUGCUUAGAGAUUACAUGGAAUACCAAUUGCGAAGGCAGGUUACUACAAGUACAUUGACGCUGAUGGACGAAAGCGUGGGGAGCGAACAGG